rnacentral:rRNA from 2 species
CUGGCGGCAGGCCUAACACAUGCAAGUCGAGCGGCAGCGGGUCCUUCGGGAUGCCGGCGAGCGGCGGACGGGUGAGUAAUGCCUAGGAAUCUGCCUGGUAGUGGGGGAUAACUCGGGGAAACUCGAGCUAAUACCGCAUACGUCCUACGGGAGAAAGCGGGGGAUCUUCGGACCUCGCGCUACCAGAUGAGCCUAGGUCGGAUUAGCUAGUUGGUGAGGUAAAGGCUCACCAAGGCGACGAUCCGUAGCUGGUCUGAGAGGAUGAUCAGCCACACUGGAACUGAGACACGGUCCAGACUCCUACGGGAGGCAGCAGUGGGGAAUAUUGGACAAUGGGCGAAAGCCUGAUCCAGCCAUGCCGCGUGUGUGAAGAAGGUCUUCGGAUUGUAAAGCACUUUAAGUUGGGAGGAAGGGCAGUAAGCUAAUACCUUGCUGUUUUGACGUUACCGACAGAAUAAGCACCGGCUUACUUNGUGCCAGCAGCCGCGGUA